GUAAGGAAUAUUGGUCAAUGGGCGCAAGCCUGAACCAGCCAUGCCGCGUGCAGGAAGACGGCCCUAUGGGUUGUAAACUGCUUUUGUCAGGGAAUAAACCCCCGCUCGUGAGCGGGGCUGAAGGUACCUGAAGAAUAAGCAUCGGCUAACUCCGUGCCAGCAGCCGCGGUAAUACGGAGGAUGCAAGCGUUAUCCGGAUUCAUUGGGUUUAAAGGGUGCGCAGGCGGAUUGGUAAGUCAGGGGUGAAAUCCCACAGCUCAACUGUGGAACUGCCUUUGAUACUGUCAGUCUAGAGUAUAGUUGAAGUUGGCGGAAUGUGUCAUGUAGCGGUGAAAUGCUUAGAUAUGACACAGAACACCGAUCGCGAAGGCAGCUAGCUAAGCUAUAACUGACGCUCAUGCACGAAAGCGUGGGGAUCAAACAGGAUUAGAAACCCGAGUAGUCC
rnacentral:rRNA from 1 species